rnacentral:rRNA from 1 species
CUUAAAUGAAUUGACGGGACCCGCACAAGCAGCGGAGCGUGUGGUUUAAUUCGUUGCUACACGAAGAACCUUACCUGGGUUUGACAUAUAGGUUGUAGGGAACUGAAAGGGACCGACCCUUCGGGGAGCCUAUACAGGUGUUGCAUGGCUGUCGUCAGCUCGUGUCGUGAGAUGUUCGGUUAAGUCCGCUAACGAGCGCAACCCUCGUCGUAUGUUAUAUGUGUCAUACGAGACUGCCGGUAAAAGCCGGAGGAAGGUGAGGAUGAUGUCAAGUCAGCAUGACCUUUAUAUCCAGGGCUACACACACGCUACAAUGGUCUGUACAAUGGGUAGCCAAGCCGCGAGGCGGAGCCAAUCCUGAAAGCAGGCCUCAGUUCAGAUUGCAGUCUGCAACUCGACUGCAUGAAGCCGGAGUUGCUAGUAACCGCAGGUCAGCAAUACUGCGGUGAAUACGUUCCCGGGUCUU